rnacentral:rRNA from 1 species
GAUGAACGCUGGCGGCGUGCCUAACACAUGCAAGUCGAACGCUGGCUUAAAACCAACCCCCUUCGGGGGCGCGGUUUUAAUGCUGGAGUGGCGGACGGGUGAGUAACGCGUGGAUAAUCUGGCCUGGACAACGGGAUAACUGUGAGAAAUCACAGCUAAUACGGUAUAAGCUCACGAUGACGCAUGUCGAUGUGAGAAAAGAUUUAUCGGUUCAGGAUGAGUCCGCGUCUGAUUAGCUAGUUGGUAGGGUAAAGGCCUACCAAGGCGACGAUCAGUAGCCGGCCUGAGAGGGUGAACGGCCACAUUGGGACUGAGACACGGCCCAAACUCCUACGGGAGGCAGCAGA